rnacentral:misc_RNA from 1 species
UAUAUAUAUAUAGAGAGAGAGAGAGAGAAGAAAAGAAUAAAAGGUAAUAACAAUAAAAACCUUCAAACUAGCAGCGGCCAUAGCUCUGAUUAUGGUCUCCAAUUCCAUCACUAUACAUACAACUUUCUCUGCAAACCUACACUUUCUCUACCAUUUUUUUUUUAAUUUUUUAGACUCAACUAUUCCAUAACAAUUCGAAUAAAUAAAAAGAGAAUAUCUUCUCUGACCUCUGUAUCUUGUGCUCUCCAUUUCUUAAUCAAUAAUGCAACAAUUCUCGUCGUCAGAGAUCAUUUCUAGGGAGUAUAAAUCCUAAAAAACUGCACAGACCCUUUUCCAAAUCUUCUCCUUAUUCCUUUCUCUAUGAGUGUUGAGAAUUGCCCAUAGAGAAAAAAAAGCCCUCAAGACAAAUUUGUCAAUUUUUUUUUUGGUUUGAUGAAUUUGAUGAAAGUUUAGAGGAGGUAAAUUCUCGAAAGAAUCAAUAAUAUGGUGGAGGAGGAGGUGAAUGCAUAUGAGAACCCAGUGAUCGGUGGCAGUGGCCCUUCGUACACUGGAGCUGGAGGAGGUGGACUUCCAUAGAUUAUGGCUGGAGGUGGUGGUGGAGGUGGAUUUGCA